ensembl:snRNA U6 U6 spliceosomal RNA
GGGCUCGUUUUGGUGGCACAUACGCUAAACUUAGAGUGAUACUGAGAAAAUUAGCAUGGCCCUUACUCAAGAAUGACACGCAAAUUCACGAAGUGUUCCAUAUUUUA